AGAUACUGUCUGGAAGAAACAUGACGGCUCUGUAGCUUGACCCUGAUAAGCCCAUGGAACUCACUGUGAACCAAGAUAUCCACAUCCCCCUCCAAAUACUCCUGAAUAUAACUUGGACACAACUUAAGUUGAUAAACUCCACAGAGGCUUGCAGUAUCGAUUGGAGAGGGCACACACGAUGCGCACGUAGUCACCAAUAAACGGCACUUGAUUGGUUGGAAGAACAUGAGCAAGGUACUUCCAUCGCUUUAUCCUUGCAUUGGCUGCCUCAACGACCCAACGAAUCUGUAAAGUUAAGAACAAGCACCACUAAUAAAAAAAGGUCUGGUAAUCAAAAUAUAGAAACAACUGACCUUGGUGACUAGACGAGAGGCAUUAGCAUCUAAGGUUGUCAUCUGCUUCUGCCCUUUGCUCAUCAGACGAGGCAUUUCGGCCCUUAUUCCCAGCUCCUCAAGCAUUUCGACUGAAUCUCUGAAGCCUCUGUCUACAAUGAAAACAUCAUCUUCAUGGAACCAGCCCUUCAGAUCUUCUGCGUUGGUAUGAAGCAUAUGGUUGAGGAUAGUGGCAUCAUUAUUCCUAGCAAGUCCAAGAUGAUGUGGUACAAAUGACUUCAUGAGUGCUGUACGGACUGAUUUUACUGCUCUACAGAGGGAAGACUUUGAAAUUCCAAAAAUCGUGGCCAGAAGUUGAUUUGACAUUCCUGAUCUCAGUUUCAGAAGAAAG